CAAGCCGAGCGGUAGAGAUCUUUCGGGAUCUUGAGAGCGGCGUACGGGUGCGGAACACGUGUGCAACCUGCCUUUAUCAGGGGGAUAGCCUUUCGAAAGGAAGAUUAAUACCCCAUAAUAUAUUGAGUGGCAUCACUUAAUAUUGAAAACUCCGGUGGAUAGAGAUGGGCACGCGCAAGAUUAGAUAGUUGGUGAGGUAACGGCUCACCAAGUCUGCGAUCUUUAGGGGGCCUGAGAGGGUGAUCCCCCACACUGGUACUGAGACACGGACCAGACUCCUACGGGAGGCAGCAGUGAGGAAUAUUGGACAAUGGGUGCGAGCCUGAUCCAGCCAUCCCGCGUGAAGGACGACGGCCCUAUGGGUUGUAAACUUCUUUUGUAUAGGGAUAAACCUACUCUCGUGAGAGUAGCUGAAGGUACUAUACGAAUAAGCACCGGCUAACUCCGUGCCAGCAGCCGCGGUAAUACGGAGGGUGCAAGCGUUAUCCGGAUUUAUUGGGUUUAAAGGGUCCGUAGGCGGAUCUGUAAGUCAGUGGUGAAAUCUCACAGCUUAACUGUGAAACUGCCAUUGAUACUGCAGGUCUUGAGUGUUGUUGAAGUAGCUGGAAUAAGUAGUGUAGCGGUGAAAUGCAUAGAUAUUACUUAGAACACCAAUUGCGAAGGCAGGUUACUAAGCAACAACUGACGCUGAUGGACGAAAGCGUGGGGAGCGAACAGGAUUAGAUACCCUGGUAGUCCACGCCGUAAACGAUGCUAACUCGUUUUUGGGUUUUCGGAUUCAGAGACUAAGCGAAAGUGAUAAGUUAGCCACCUGGGGGAGUACGAACGCAAGUUUGAAACUCAAAGGAAUUGACGGGGGCCCGCACAAGCGGUGGAUUAUGUGGUUUAAUUCGAUGAUACGCGAGGAAACCUUACCAAGGGCUUAAAUGGGGAAAUGACAGGGCUUUAAAAAUAGGCUUUUCUUUCGGA
rnacentral:rRNA from 1 species